AGAAUCAACGCUGGCGGCGUGCCUAGCACAUGCAAGUCGCACGAGAAAGGGUAGCAAUACCUGAGUACAGUGGCGCACGGGUGAGUAACACGUGAAUAAUCUACCUCCGAGUGGGGAAUAACUGAGAGAAAUCUUAGCUAAUACCGCAUAACACUUACGAGUCAAAGCAGCAAUGCGCUUGGAGAGGAGUUCGCGGCAGAUUAGUUAGUUGGCGGGGUAAUGGCCCACCAAGACGAUGAUCUGUA
rnacentral:rRNA from 1 species